GAAAACAAGAAGCAAAUGUCAUUAGUGAUGUCGAAGCACCAUUGAGGCCUGCAAGGUAAAGUAGAAUAACUAGUGUCACUGAAGUUGUUGAUGUAUGAUGAUUGAUGAAUUUUUGACUUUUUGUAUUUUAGAAACUAGUUUAUGGAUGUAGGUUUUGAUUGUACAGACUACUUUUUAUGUUUUGAAUUGGUUCUAUUUCAUGGAGUUCUACCAUUUACUGUGAGAUAUUGUUAAAAAAAA
rnacentral:lncRNA from 1 species